AACAUACCAUAUUGAAUAUACCGGUUCUCGUUAGAUCUCCGAAAGUCAAGCAUCAUUGGGCGCGGUCAGUAGCCACCUGGGAACACCGCGUGCCGUUG